rnacentral:rRNA from 1 species
GUGGGGAAUCUUCCGCAAUGGACGAAAGUCUGACGGAGCAACGCCGCGUGAGUGAAGACGGCCUUCGGGUUGUAAAGCUCUGUUAUACGGGACGAACGGGCGAGGGGCUAAUACCCUCUUGUCGUGACGGUACCGUAAGAGAAAGCCACGGCUAACUACGUGCCAGCAGCCGCGGUAAUACGUAGGUGGCAAGCGUUGUCCGGAAUUAUUGGGCGUAAAGGGUGCGCAGGCGGUCUCUUAAGUCUGUCUUAAAAGUGCGGGGCUUAACCCCGUGAGGGGACGGAAACUGGGAGACUGGAGUAUCGGAGAGGAAAGCAGAAUUCCUAGUGUAGCGGUGAAAUGCGUAGAUAUUAGGAGGAAUACCAGUGGCGAAAGCGGCUUUCUGGACGACAACUGACGCUGAGGCACGAAAGCCAGGGGAGCGAACGGGAUUAGAAACCCCAGUAGUCC